rnacentral:rRNA from 1 species
CGGGUGAGUAAUGCCUAGGAAUCUGCCUGGUAGUGGGGGACAACGUUUCGAAAGGAACGCUAAUACCGCAUACGUCCUACGGGAGAAAGCAGGGGACCUUCGGGCCUUGCGCUAUCAGAUGAGCCUAGGUCGGAUUAGCUAGUUGGUGAGGUAAUGGCUCACCAAGGCGACGAUCCGUAACUGGUCUGAGAGGAUGAUCAGUCACACUGGAACUGAGACACGGUCCAGACUCCUACGGGAGGCAGCAGUGGGGAAUAUUGGACAAUGGGCGAAAGCCUGAUCCAGCCAUGCCGCGUGUGUGAAGAAGGUCUUCGGAUUGUAAAGCACUUUAAGUUGGGAGGAAGGGCAGUAACUUAAUACGUUGCUGUUUUGACGUUACCGACAGAAUAAGCACCGGCUAACUCUGUGCCAGCAGCCGCGGUAAUACAGAGGGUGCAAGCGUUAAUCGGAAUUACUGGGCGUAAAGCGCGCGUAGGUGGUUCGUUAAGUUGGAUGUGAAAUCCCCGGGCUCAACCUGGGAACUGCAUUCAAAACUGUCGAGCUAGAGUAUGGUAGAGGGUGGUGGAAUUUCCUGUGUAGCGGUGAAAUGCGUAGAUAUAGGAAGGAACACCAGUGGCGAAGGCGACCACCUGGACUGAUACUGACACUGAGGUG